rnacentral:rRNA from 1 species
AUGUCUGGGAAACUGCCUGAUGGAGGGGGAUAACUACUGGAAACGGUAGCUAAUACCGCAUAACGUCGCAAGACCAAAGUGGGGGACCUUCGGGCCUCAUGCCAUCAGAUGUGCCCAGAUGGGAUUAGCUAGUAGGUGGGGUAACGGCUCACCUAGGCGACGAUCCCUAGCUGGUCUGAGAGGAUGACCAGCCACACUGGAACUGAGACACGGUCCAGACUCCUACGGGAGGCAGCAGUGGGGAAUAUUGCACAAUGGGCGCAAGCCUGAUGCAGCCAUGCCGCGUGUGUGAAGAAGGCCUUCGGGUUGUAAAGCACUUUCAGCGGGGAGGAAGGCGAUAAGGUUAAUAACCUUGUCGAUUGACGUUACCCGCAGAAGAAGCACCGGCUAACUCCGUGCCAGCAGCCGCGGUAAUACGGAGGGUGCAAGCGUUAAUCGGAAUUACUGGGCGUAAAGCGCACGCAGGCGGUCUGUCAAGUCGGAUGUGAAAUCCCCGGGCUCAACCUGGGAACUGCAUUCGAAACUGGCAGGCUAGAGUCUUGUAGAGGGGGGUAGAAUUCCAGGUGUAGCGGUGAAAUGCGUAGAGAUCUGGAGGAAUACCGGUGGCGAAGGCGGCCCCCUGGACAAAGACUGACGCUCAGGUGCGAAAGCGUGGGGAGCAAACAGGAUUAGAUACCCUGGUAGUCCACGCCGUAAACGAUGUCGAUUUGGAGGUUGUGCCCUUGAGGCGUGGCUUCCGGAGCUAACGCGUUAAAUCGACCGCCUGGGGAGUACGGCCGCAAGGUUAAAACUCAAAUGAAUUGACGGGGGCCCGCACAAGCGGUGGAGCAUGUGGUUUAAUUCGAUGCAACGCGAAGAACCUUACCUGGUCUUGACAUCCACAGAACUUUCCAGAGAUGGAUUGGUGCCUUCGGGAACUGUGAGACAGGUGCUGCAUGGCUGUCGUCAGCUCGUGUUGUGAAAUGUUGGGUUAAGUCCCGCAACGAGCGCAACCCUUAUCCUUUGUUGCCAGCGGUCCGGCCGGGAACUCAAAGGAGACUGCCAGUGAUAAACUGGAGGAAGGUGGGGAUGACGUCAAGUCAUCAUGGCCCUUACGACCAGGGCUACACACGUGCUACAAUGGCAUAUACAAAGAGAAGCGACCUCGCGAGAGCAAGCGGACCUCAUAAAGUAUGUCGUAGUCCGGAUUGGAGUCUGCAACUCGACUCCAUGAAGUCGGAAUCGCUAGUAAUCGUAGAUCAGAAUGCUACGGUGAAUACGUUCCCGGGCCUUGUACACACC